UACGUAGGGGGCGAGCGUUACCCGGAUUUACUGGGCGUAAAGCGCGUGUAGGCGGCUGGCCAAGUGUGGUGUGAAAUCUUCGGGCUUAACCCGAAAACUGCAUUGCGAACUGGUCUGGCUAGAGUGUGUGAGAGGGUAGUGGAAUUCCCGGUGUAGCGGUGAAAUGCGUAGAUAUCGGAAGGAACAUCAGUGGCGAAAGCGACUUCCUGGACCAAUACUGACGCUCAUGUGCGAAAGCGUGGGGAGCAAACAGG
rnacentral:rRNA from 1 species